CCUUCGAUGUUUUGGGCAGCACGCGUAUUACAAUAUUAAUACCAACAAGUUUAUCUUAAUUGCCUUCUCUAAAUCUAAAAGAGUGGGAAAACUUUUCAACUAUUAAUGUGACUGGGAUAGAUGUUUGGUAAUUUCAUCUUAAACGAGGAAUUCCUAGUAGGCACAGGUCAGCAACCUGCACCGAUUACGUCCCUGCUCUUUGUACACACCGCCCGUCGCUCCUACCAAUGGAACAAGAAGGUGAAGUUGAGGGACUUUUCUCCGGAUGAGAAACUUACCUAAACCUUCAUGUUUAUAGGAAGGAUAAGUCGUAACAAGGUC
rnacentral:rRNA from 1 species